GAUAAACGCUGGCGGCGUGCCUAAUACAUGCAAGUCGAACGAGGAGUUCUUGUAGCAAUACGGGGACUUCCUAGUGGCGAAUGGGUGAGUAACGCGUUGGUGACCUACCCCAAAGAGAGGAAUAACUCCGGGAAACUGGAGCUAAUACCCCAUGUGGUUGUCAGGGUUAGAGGCCUGAUAACUGAAGGAGCAAUCCGCUUUGGGAGGGACCUGCGUCCCAUCAGCUUGUUGGUAGGGUAACGGCCUACCAAGGCUACGACGGGUAGGGGGCCUGAGAGGGUGGCCCCCCACACUGGCACUGAAACACGGGCCAGACACCUACGGGUGGCAGCAGUAGGGAAUAUUGCACAAUGGGCGAAAGCCUGAUGCAGCAACGCCGCGUGCGCGAUGAAGACCUUCGGGUUGUAAAGCGCUUUUCUGAAGGACGAGGAAGGACGGUACUUCAGGAAUAAGGAUCGGCUAACUACGUGCCAGCCGCCGCAGUAAAAC
rnacentral:rRNA from 1 species